AUAAGUCAUCAAUUCUCUCAUUCCAUCGAGAUUGAGACUAAGAUAAGUCGCGACGUACGGAUAGCUCAUCCAUCCAUGAAAUUUUACGUAUCCCGAAAUGUAAAAACUACAGACCAGUUCCAUUGAAAUUAUUUAAUGUCCAAAACAGAACGCCUCUAUAUAUAUAUAUUCAAAGCCCUACUACUUCGAAACUUCUAGAUAAUUUUCAUAAACUUCAGAGAAUUUACGUCUGCUAGUAGUACUUUUCCUGAGAUGGACCAGGAACUCGAUUACGAAUUACAUGAAUCGUUCCAUAAUUUUUACUCAACAUUUGUCUUCGUGCAUAUUAUCGGAGGCAUCAGAGGUGACGGCGCAGGGAAGCGUGAGGGAAAUGCCGGAUAAUUUUGGAGCUCGUGCGGUAUUCCAGGGAUUAUUUUUUCAAUUCAAAUGUCAGCCAAUAGAAUUGCUCCAUAAGACAAAACACACAGUUAAGAAAUAAGAAUUGUCUUAGAGGCAGAAGGCAUAUCUUUCUCCUAUGAUGUCUCCAGAGGAACUGACCCUUAGUGACCAAAGUUUUCACACUCUGGACCCAUUCAACAAAAAGCUCUCGUUCUCUCAUUUCUUUCUUUUCCUUCUGUGUUUUUGUUUAUUAAAACUAUUCUAAACAUUUCGGUACUGUUUGGAGACAAAUUAUAAAAUACUGACAUGAACUAAACAGAGCUUUAGACAGACGGUUAAUUUUUGUCCACACAUACCAUGCACUCUCGAUAUUAUUUUCAUUAUAAUUCUUUGUCCGUUAGGAAGUUAAUGUUCGCUCACUGUAAGUUCAACCACUGGAAGUGUUGUGGAUUAAAAAUAUGAUUAAUGCAAACCAUAGAAGAUUGAGUGUAUUUAGAAUUUCGGCAAAACCGCUUUAUUGUCACUCCAUUCAUAUUGGACAAGUUGAGUCGGCAGAGCAAUCGGAAGGUUCCGGGUUUGAAUCCCGAUCUGGUUCCCUUGGUACAUAAUCCCAAAUUCUAUUCAACACAUAACAACAACACAGCACAUAAUCCAAAAUUCUAUUCCCAGUGAUGUCACAGGAUUAAACGAUUGACUUCUCUAAAUUGAAACUUGACCUUGAUUUUUUGUUUGCCCCAGAGGGCGCCACCAACACAGAACCUAGGGACCUCUCAUCCCAUAAUUAUGUACUAAUUACGAUUCGUGUUUAUAUCCCACUCCAUUACCAAAACCCGGGAGAAUGUUAAUCUACUGGUUUAUGUGCAGAUGAUGUUUGUUUAUAAAUUUUUGUCCCCACAGUUACGCGAACCAUGAUGUCACCCCUAGGGGACCUGGAAAAAGUGAUGGGAAUGGAGUUAGACGGCGUGAAGGGAGCGGAGAAGGCGGGAUAAAAAUUAUUACUCCCUAGUUUUAAAUAUUUAAUAAACUCGAGAGCCCCUGCAGGCCAUAGCCCAUAUCGUCCACAAAAUAAUGUUCAUGAAGACUUUUUCUUAUAACACUUUUUAAGGUUUAUAAAUCAUGCAACUCAUGUUCUGUUGAAUUAAAUAGUUCAUUAAGAAAACAAGACAUUCGACGAUGGAUGAGAAAGCUUCCACACGGAAGCUUUAUACUCAUCCGAUUUUUGGAUUUUUUACUUUUGCUUGGAAAUGAUAUAGACUUGGGUCGAUGUAUGG